GGAGGAGAUGUACCAGAGCUGUGUCUGUCAGGACUACAGCUGGCCCUCACGGCGGCGCCACCCUCCUCUGAGAUCUUUGUGUUCACUGAUGCUCCUGCUAAAGACACUGCACUGAAGAGCACUGUCACUGCCCUCAUAGAGAGCACCAAGUCUGUGGUGACCUUCAUGUUGACUGACAACCUCCGAUCCAGUCGACG